GGUCAUCUUUGGUUGGCUUUGGGAAGCCUUUAGAGACUUAAUUUGAGCGGAGUUGAGGCCUAUUGGAGUUAAUUGUGGGACAUAGUAAUAGAGCCUUCCACAGCGGGAAAGGCUAGGGUUCC